rnacentral:pre_miRNA from 1 species
UCUUAUGGAUGAGCAAAGAAAGUGGUCUCUUGGGAUAGAGACUACUCCUGCUGGAGAUGCUGUGAA